rnacentral:lncRNA from 1 species
UUGUAUGGUUGGCAUGAGCUGGAGCUUGCUGGGGUGGAGCGGUUGCCAACUUGGCACCACAGCAGGCGACACGCCAACAUGCUGUGGCUGCUUCCAGUUGCAUCCCCAAGGCCAAUCAACAUCUGGUGCAUGAGAGGGGAGGCAAGCUGGGCACACUUGUCCUGUUGUGCAGAGCUGCAUGGGGCACUGCAAGGGCUGGCACCACCACGCUUAGCUUGUGGUUGCAUCACAAACAGUCAGGCAACAUGUACAUACACGAAUAUGCAAGGGUCUUGCACACGGGUGAGUGAGGCAGGCAGGUUGGAUGGUUAGUUGUGCAGCAUGGCCCCAACAUGAGAACAAGGGGAAUGGGCAGCACAUGCAUGCACACCAUGGUUGCGUGAUCUGUCAACAUGCACCAUAGCACAAUGCAGUAUUCAGUAUAAUCUGGGUGAAUGAGAAGCCACAGUGGUGCAAGGUCACAGGACCAUAUAAGCCGCAUUCCUUCCCCUACUUGCGCCCUGCAACUGUAACAAGAGGAUUGUCGCCUAGGUUGACAAGGGAGCGAGUCUCCCGUUACAGUCCUCCCCCCCUGGAAGCGAACGUCCUCGUGAGACCACCAGCGCAUCCGUAGAUGUUAUAGGCUCACUGCAGGCGCGGGGUGGGUUUACUGCCUUUGGCCCAGUUGCGCUGUUGCCUCGCUCUCACGGGUCAUCCACCUCAGGGCAAGGAGGGUUUAACCCUCUUGUGCACUAGUUCGGACCCAUGCACCCAUCCGGGAUCGAACCCGGGACCUCAACAGUCAGGGUGACUCCUGGCAUUUUGCACCAAUGUAACAAGAAAAUUGUCGCCUAGGUUGACAAGGGAGCGAGUCUCCCGUUACAGCAACAAGGAAGCAGUGGGGCACACAAAGUCAUUGCUAUCUGCCCAAAUCACACCAUGCCACCCCCACAAGUGCUUCCACCAAUCAUUCUAGCUAUAAUUAUGCUAAUUAUACGGUCUAUACAAUUUCUGACAUGUCACACAUUUCAAACCUUUCAAAACCCCUCAAAACCCCCCUUUAGGCCACCCCGCUACCAGGGGCCACGUGAGUGAGUGCAGCAGUCCAGCCACGCAACCGUUUGACCAAUCUAUUGCUUAUACGCAUAUAGCGACUGCCGUUGUAUGGUUGGCAUGAGCUGGAGCUUGCUGGGGUGGAGCGGUUGCCAACUUGGCACCACAGCAGGCGACACGCCAACAUGCUGUGGCUGCUUCCAGUUGCAUCCCCAAGGCCAAUCAACAUCUGGUGCAUGAGAGGGGAGGCAAGCUGGGCACACUUGUCCUGUUGUGCAGAGCUGCAUGGGGCACUGCAAGGGCUGGCACCACCACGCUUAGCUUGUGGUUGCAUCACAAACAGUCAGGCAACAUGUACAUACACGAAUAUGCAAGGGUCUUGCACACGGGUGAGUGAGGCAGGCAGGUUGGAUGGUUAGUUGUGCAGCAUGGCCCCAACAUGAGAACAAGGGGAAUGGGCAGCACAUGCAUGCACACCAUGGUUGCGUGAUCUGUCAACAUGCACCAUAGCACAAUGCAGUAUUCAGUAUAAUCUGGGUGAAUGAGAAGCCACAGUGGUGCAAGGUCACAGGACCAUAUAAGCCGCAUUCCUUCCCCUACUUGCGCCCUGCAACUGUAACAAGAGGAUUGUCGCCUAGGUUGACAAGGGAGCGAGUCUCCCGUUACAGUCCUCCCCCCCUGGAAGCGAACGUCCUCGUGAGACCACCAGCGCAUCCGUAGAUGUUAUAGGCUCACUGCAGGCGCGGGGUGGGUUUACUGCCUUUGGCCCAGUUGCGCUGUUGCCUCGCUCUCACGGGUCAUCCACCUCAGGGCAAGGAGGGUUUAACCCUCUUGUGCACUAGUUCGGACCCAUGCACCCAUCCGGGAUCGAACCCGGGACCUCAACAGUCAGGGUGACUCCUGGCAUUUUGCACCAAUGUAACAAGAAAAUUGUCGCCUAGGUUGACAAGGGAGCGAGUCUCCCGUUACAGCAACAAGGAAGCAGUGGGGCACACAAAGUCAUUGCUAUCUGCCCAAAUCACACCAUGCCACCCCCACAAGUGCUUCCACCAAUCAUUCUAGCUAUAAUUAUGCUAAUUAUACGGUCUAUACAAUUUCUGACAUGUCACACAUUUCAAACCUUUCAAAACCCCUCAAAACCCCCCUUUAGGGUUUUAGGGUUUUAGGGUUUUAGGGUUUUAGGGUUUAGGGUUUUAGGGUUUUAGGGUUUUAGGGUUUAGGGUUUUAGGGUUUUAGGGUUUUAGGGUUUUAGGGUUUUAG